AAGAGUUUAGUUUAAAUAAAACAUUAAUUUGUCAAGUUAAAAAUGUCAUUAAGAUAAUUCUUA
rnacentral:tRNA from 1 species